GAUUGGACGCUGGCGGUAUGCUUAACACAUGCAAGUCGAACGGAAACGAUACUAGCUUGCUAGUAGGCGUCGAGUGGCGGACGGGUGAGUAACGCGUAGGAAUCUGCCUGAUAGUGGGGGAUAGCCCGAAGAAAUUCGGAUUAAUACCGCAUAAUCUAUUCGUAGUAAAGUGGGGGACUUUCGAGCCUCACGCUAUCAGAUGAGCCUGCGUAAGAUUAGCUAGUUGGUAGGGUAAAAGCCUACCAAGGCGACGAUCUUUAGCUGGUCUGAGAGGAUGAUCAGCCACAUCGGGACUGAGACACGGCCCGAACUCCUACGGGAGGCAGCAGUGGGGAAUAUUGGACAAUGGGGGCAACCCUGAUCCAGCAAUACCGCGUGUGUGAAGAAGGCCUGAGGGUUGUAAAGCACUUUCAAUUGUGAAGAAAAGCUAGUGGUUAAUAGCCAUUAGCCUUGACGUUAACUUUAGAAGAAGCACCGGCUAACUCCGUGCCAGCAGCCGCGGUAAUACGGAGGGUGCAAGCGUUAAUCGGAAUUACUGGGCGUAAAGCGUGCGUAGGCGGUUUAUUAAGUCAGAUGUGAAAGCCCCGGGCUUAACCUGGGAACUGCAUUUGAAACUGGUCAACUAGAGUAUGGUAGAGGAAAGUGGAAUUUCUGGUGUAGCGGUGAAAUGCGUAGAUAUCAGAAAGGAACAUCAAUGGCGAAGGCAACUUUCUGGACCAAUACUGACGCUGAGGUACGAAAGCGUGGGUAGCAAACAGGAUUAGAUACCCUGGUAGUCCACGCCGUAAACGAUGAUAACUAGCCGUUGGGGGGGAUUUACCCCUUAGUGGCGAAGCUAACGCGUUAAGUUAUCCGCCUGGGGAGUACGGCCGCAAGGUUAAAACUCAAAGGAAUUGACGGGGACCCGCACAAGCGGUGGAGCAUGUGGUUUAAUUCGAUGCAACGCGAAGAACCUUACCUGGUCUUGACAUCCUGCGAACUUUCUAGAAAUAGAUUGGUGCCUUCGGGAACGCAGUGACAGGUGCUGCAUGGCUGUCGUCAGCUCGUGUCGUGAGAUGUUGGGUUAAGUCCCGUAACGAGCGCAACCCCUAUCCUUAUUUGCCAGCACAUCAUGGUGGGAACUAUAAGGAGACUGCCGGUGAUAAACCGGAGGAAGGCGGGGACGACGUCAAGUCAUCAUGGCCCUUACGACCAGGGCUACACACGUGCUACAAUGGGAAGGACAAAGAGCCGCGAAGCCGCGAGGUGUAGCUAAUCUCAGAAACCUUUUCGUAGUCCGGAUUGGAGUCUGCAACUCGACUCCAUGAAGUCGGAAUCGCUAGUAAUCGUAGAUCAGAAUGCUACGGUGAAUACGUUCCCGGGUCUUGUACACACCGC
rnacentral:rRNA from 1 species